CUGUCACAGAAAGCACAGCAUAAGCACUGACAAAACGCAUCAAAUGCACAUGUGUUCAGAACAGAGAUUGUUGAUUUCCCAACUCUAAUCGGUUGAUGCAGGUUUCCAUUUUUUAAUAGUCCCACUUUCACUCUUUUUGCCCCAAAAGAUGGAUCUGCAUGGAGCCAUUCAGUGCAGGAAGUGAGAUAAGAAGUUCUCUUCCUUUUUUUGGGUGGAAGAAUUAGUCCCCUCCAGUUUUCAACCACGUCUUCAUCUGUUGGAGGAAUGUUUGUGGUUUCAUCGGAUUCUACAGAUUGAACAAAUCCACAUAUUUCCUUCUAUAAAGGAAAGAUGACGAGAAAUAAAGCGAUCAACUCGAAUGGGUAAGUUCUCGUGUUUAAAAAGGCCAUGCUUUACAUUUUUGAAUUCUGCUUCAACAGUGGCUGAGCUUGCUGUGAGGUUGGUGCUUUUGAAGAGGGGGACCAUUACUCCUGUCCAAAGUGCCGCGUAGGUCAGUCUGGAUCUCGUCAAAAGAAUCCACUUGAUGCAUUUCAUUUGGAUCUUCAGCUGGAAUGAUGAUGGAGUCUUCUGUGAUCUGGGUUUUUAGAUAUUUUUUGCACAUCUCUGAUUCGAGAGGGACUCCAGAACUAUCAUCACCCUCUGCCUCACUGAGGGCCACAACAGUGAUG